rnacentral:rRNA from 1 species
UACGAAGGGAGCUAGCGUUGUUCGGAAUCACUGGGCGUAAAGCGCACGUAGGCGGAUGUGUCAGUCAGGGGUGAAAUCCCGGAGCUCAACUUCGGAACUGCCUUUGAUACAGCACGUCUUGAGUCCGAUAGAGGCGAGUGGAAUUCCUGGUGUAGCGGUGAAAUGCGCAGAUAUCAGGAGGAACACCAAUGGCGAAGGCAGCUCGCUGGUACGGUACUGACGCUGAGGCGCGAAAGCGUGGGGAGCAAACAGG